GCAGGUCUUGGGUGAGACCCAAUGCUAUGCUGGCUUCAUCUCUAACCCAGUCCAGUCAUAGUGGGGGUGGCCACAGAGGUACUUCUGUCACUCCACUCCCAGCUUUAUGUGGCUCAGAACAGAGAGAGAAAUUCCAUUUGUUUGGGAGAAAGUAAGGUAAGAGAACAAGAGUCUUUGCCUGGUAAUCCAGAGAAUUUCUCCCAGAUGCUGUCCUUGACCAUCAAGGUGGUACCCCUAAGAGUCUGCAAGAACUUCAGAGAACUACAGUGUUAUUGGGUUCGGGGUAAUCCCUCCCCCAGCUCCAGGCAGCUCAGCACAGAGAGAGAGACUGUUUGUGUUUAAAGAAUGUAAGGGAAGAGAACAAGAGUUUCUGCCUGGUAAUCCAGGGAAUUCCCUUGGAUCUUACCCAUGAACACCAAGGUGGUACCUCUACAAGUCAGCAAGAACCACAGCGUUACUAGGCUUGAGGUGCCCCCUAAAGCAGAUACAGCUUAGAUCACAGUAGUGAAGUCCUUUGAAAUACCUGGAAAGCCUUCCCAAGAAGGACAAGUACAAACAAGCCCAGACACUGGAGACUGAUAAUAUCCAACUCUUCAAUGCCCAGAGAGUGAAGAAUAUCUAUAGCAUCAGCACCAUCCAGGAAAACAUGACCUCACCAAAUGAACUAAAGAAACCACCAGAGACCAGUCCUAGAGAAACAGACAUAUGAGACCUUUCAGACAGAAUUCAAAAUAGCCAUGUUGAAGAAACUCAAAGAAAUUCAAGAUAAUGGAAAGAAGGAAUUCAGAAUUCUAUCAGAUAAACUUAACAAAUAAAUCGAACUUGAACGUGGGAGGCAGCGGUUGCAGUGAGCUGAGAUUGCGCCACUGCGCUCCAGCCUGGUGACAGAGCAAGACUCCAUCUCAAAAAAAAAAAAAAAGAUCCUGUCAUUUUCAGCAACAUGGAUGGAACAGGAAAUCAUUAGUGUUAACUGAAAUAAGCCAGGCACAGAAGUACAAACAUUACAUGUUCUCACUUAUUUGUCGGAUCUAAAAAUCAAAACAAUUGAACUCAUGGUCACAGAGUGUAGAAGGAUAGUUACCAGAGGCUGGGAAGGGUAGUCGGGGGUUGGGAAGGAGAUGGGGAUGGUUAAAGGCUACCAAAAACUAGAAAGAAUGAAUAAAGCCUACUAUUUGAUAGCACAACAGGGUGACUGUAGUUAAUAAUAACAAUUGUACGUUUUUAAAUAACCAGAAGAUCGUAAUUGGAUUGUUUGUAACACAAAGGAUAAAUGCUUGAGGAGAUGAAUACCCCAUUCUCCAUGAUGUGAUUGUUUCACACUGCAUGCCUGUAUCAAAACAUCUCAUGUAUCCCAUAAAAAUAUAUAUACUAUGUACCCACAAAAAUUAAAAAUUUAAAUCUUUUUUUGGGCCAGGUGCAGUGGCUUAUGCCUGUAAUCCUAGCUACUUGGGAGGCUGAGACAGGAGAAUUGCUUGAACCUGGGAGGCAGAGGUUGCAGUGAGCCAAGAUGGUGCCACUGCCAUCCAGCCUGGGAGACUCCAGAGUGAGACUCCGUCUAAAAUGUAGAUAUAUUUCCACAUCAAGGGAUGCUUAUUUAAAAUGGGAGAAUGAUAGGGAAGCAAUUCUAAAGAAUAACCCUCAUUUAUAGCCUCUAGUCCCAAAACAGUCUCACACUACAUG
rnacentral:lncRNA from 10 species